UGCUGACGAGCGGCGGACGGGUGAGUAACGCGUAGGAAUCUACCCAGUAGCGGGGGAUAGCUUGGGGAAACUCAAAUUAAUACCGCAUACGCCCUACGGGGGAAAGCAGGGGAUCUUCGGACCUCGCACUAUUGGAGUAGCCUGCGUUGGAUUAGCUUGUUGGUGGGGUAAAGGCCUACCAAGGCGACGAUCCAUAGCUGGUCUGAGAGGACGAUCAGCCACACUGGGACUGAGACACGGCCCAGACUCC
rnacentral:rRNA from 1 species